CGGGUGCGUAACGCGUGGGAAUCUACCUUAUAGUGGGGGAUAGCCCGGAGAAAUCCGGAUUAAUACCGCAUAAUCUCUACGGAGCAAAGUGGGGGAUCUUCGGACCUCACGCUAUUAGAUGAGCCCGCGUUAGAUUAGCUUGUUGGUGAGGUAAUGGCUCACCAAGGCAACGAUCUAUAGCUGGUUUGAGAGGAUGAUCAGCCACACUGGGACUGAGACACGGCCCAG
rnacentral:rRNA from 1 species